CACGUAGGGCGCAAGCGUUGUCCGGAAUUAUUGGGCGUAAAGAGCUCGUAGGCGGUCUGUUGCGUCCGCUGUGAAAACUCGGGGCUUAACCCCGAGCCUGCAGUGGAUACGGGCAGACUAGAGGUAGGUAGGGGAGAAUGGAAUUCCCGGUGUAGCGGUGAAAUGCGCGGAUAUCGGGAGGAACACCGGUGGCGAAGGCGGUUCUCUGGGCCUUACCUGACGCUGAGGAGCGAAAGCGUGGGGAGCGAACAGG
rnacentral:rRNA from 1 species